AGCCUUCUGUAUCCGUGCUAAGAUUUAGUCACACACCAGACCACAAAGGCUGAUGAGACUCACAAGAUUUUAUAGGUG
rnacentral:pre_miRNA from 1 species